ACACACAGACACACACAGACACAAAGCCCAUUCCAGGUUAAUACACACACACACAUCUCUUUCCCGGGUCAUUAAGAAAAUAAAUACGUACCUUCUGUGUCAAUAAAAAUCCUAAACCUAAGGUUUAUGUUCCGUCUGCACAGAGUCACCUCUAGUCUCAGGGAUGCUAACUGCUCAGGCUUCCCUGUCCCUCACAGCAAUGAGACAUUACAUUUAGUAUAGUAGCAUAUAGUAUUUAUUUCCUUGCUUCGCUAAUAAGUAAGCCAGGACAGUGGAAGGGGCAAAAAUAUUUUUUUAAAGGAUGAAAGUUCAACAGAUAAGAGAAAAUAAUAAAGAAACCAUUCACGGAGUAAAUCACUCAAAAGUUACACCAACGUAGUGUGGAAUCUGUUUCCACCAUAAGGUCUUCCUCUGUCAAAAUGAAAUGCCAGAUCAGGAAUAACUAGCCAUGUUGUGUAAAGGCUGAUAAAAGUCAUUGAUAUCUAACUGGACAGGUUUGAAGGAUAUCAACCUUGAGUUAAACUUUACUGUCAACCCAGGAUAUUAUCAGUAACCCAUAGUCACAACAACAGGUCACCCCAGGAUAUUACCAGUAACCCAUAGUCACAACAACAGGUCACCCCAGGAUAUUAUCACUAACCCAUAGUCACAACAACAGGUCACCCCAGGAUAUUAUCACUAAUCCAUAGUCACAACAACAGGUCACCCCAGGAUAUUACCAGUAACCCAUAGUCACAACAACAGGUCACCCCAGGAUAUUAUCAGUAACCCAUAGUCACAACAACAGGUCACCCCAGGAUAUUACCAGUAACCCAUAGUCACAACAACAGGUCACCCCAGAGAGAGGAUAUUACCAGUAACCCAUAGUCACAACAACAGGUCACCCCAGGAUAUUAUCAGUAACCCAUAGUCACAACAACAGGUCACCCCAGGAUAUUACCAGUAACCCAUAGUCACAACAACAGGUCACCCCAGGAUAUUAUCAGUAACCCAUAGUCACAACAACAGGUCACCCCAGGAUAUUACCAGUAACCCAUAGUCACAACAACAGGUCACCCCAGGAUAUUACCAGUAACCCAUAGUCACAACAACAGGUCACCCCAGGAUAUUAUCAGUAACCCAUAGUCACAACAACAGGUCACCCCAGGAUAUUAUCAGUAACCCAUAGUCACAACAACAGGUCACCCCAGGAUAUUAUCAGUAACCCAUAGUCACAACAACAGGUCACCCCAGGAUAUUAUCAGUAACCCAUAGUCACAACAACAGGUCACCCCAGGAUAUUACCAGUAACCCAUAGUCACAACAACAGGUCACCCCAGAGAGAGGAUAUUACCAGUAACCCAUAGUCACAACAACAGGUCACCCCAGGAUAUUAUCAGUAACCCAUAGUCACAACAACAGGUCAACCCAGGAUAUUAUCAGUAACCCAUAGUCACAACAACAGGUCAACCCAGGAUAUUAU